UACGGGGGGGGGCAAGCGUUGUUCGGAAUUACUGGGCGUAAAGGGCGCGUAGGCGGUUUGCUAAGUUGGAUGUGAAAACUCUGGGCUUAACCCAGAGCCUGCAUCCAAAAACUGGCAAACUUGAGUACUGGAGGGGAAAGCGGAAUCCUGGUGUAGCGGUGAAAUGCGUAGAUAUCUGGAGGAAUACCGGUGGCGAAGGCGGCAUCCUGGACCGGCAUUGACGCUGAGGAGCGAAAGCGUGGGGAGCGAACAGG
rnacentral:rRNA from 1 species